AGAGUUUGAUCCUGGCUCAGGACGAACGCUGGCGGUGUGCCUAAAACAUGCAAGUCGAACGAGGCCUUCGGGUCUAGUGGCGAACGGCGGAGUAAUACAUAAGCAACGUGCCCUAAAGUCUGGGACAAACGCAGAAAUGCCAUAAAUACCGGAUGUGGUGAGGAGUAGGCAUCUAUUCUUCAUUAAAUGGUUUUUCGCUUUAGGAGCGGCUUAUGAUGCAUCAGGUAGUUGGUGGGGUAAAGGCCUACCAAGCCGACGACGCAUAGGGGGUCUGAGAGGAUGAUCCCCCCGAGAGGGACUGAGACACGGCCCUCACACCUACGGGUGGCAGCAGUUGGGAAUCGUUGUCAAUGGGGGAAACCCUGAACACGCGACACCGCGUGGUGGAUGAAGGCCUUAGGGUCGUAAACACCUUUUGCACGGAAAGACUUAGGACGGUACCGUGCGAAUAAGCUCCGGCUAACUACGUGCCAGCAGCCGCGGUAAU
rnacentral:rRNA from 1 species